CUAGCUUUGUCAGAAUCCUUUCUUUAACCAGGGUUCUAGUUAUGUUACCCAUCUUGACAAAGGACCAUCAUUGCCUCUCUUCAAACUUCAUAGCAGCCCUCAUCAUUAAUCUGGACACAGGUCAAACCUGUCCAGGGACCCUCAGCCAGUUCUGCUCUCAAUAAAAAAGUUACUUUUUAUUGUCCACUUUUAUGUGGUCAAUUAUUUUGACUCAAGUAAAAGAAGAACAAUGCAGCAAGAGAAUUGAGGAUAUUUUUGAGAAUGGAUUCAACUUCUGGAUAUCACAAACCAAAUUGUGGCACAGAAAGACAAUUCAUAAAUGUCUUCUUCAAAAUGGGCCAAUUAGGCCGAAGUUGAGAAUUUGGGGAAAAGUACAAAAUUGAGAUGAUCAAGAACUAAUUCUAGCUACAUUGCUGAAUGGAAAAACUAAGUAACAUGAAGCAGAUAACCUAUCUGUUGAUAACUGAGACUAAGAAAAUACAAACUAUUGAAAAAGUGAUGUGAUAUGACUUUAACUUAGCAUGAAAUGAAGAGACACCAGAGUAUAUACAAUAAGGAUUAUCUACUAUGACAAAGGAGUAGAUUACAGCCACCUCUGACAAGGCAACCACAAACAAAUCAGUUCAACCUAAGCACUUCAAGGACAGAUUCCUCUACUCUGGAGGUGGGAAAGUGAGUUUUCAAGACCUAUGCCAUCUAAAUACCUAAUUAUGGACUCUGCUGAGGAAGAGACUUCCAGAAUCACUACUAUAUGAACAGGCAACAGACUUUCACAGACUUUUUCACUAGCUCCUCUUCGUGGUCUUUGGCAAGUGACUUUUCUCAGACUCCUCAACCAUUGUCUUACAACCUUCCUAAAACAAUUCCCAGUUUCUCCCACCACUUUGUAAAGUUUAA
rnacentral:lncRNA from 1 species